UACGUAGGGUGCGAGCGUUAAUCGGAAUUACUGGGCGUAAAGCGUGCGCAGGCGGUUCGUUGUGUCGGCGGUGAAAGCCCCGGGCUCAACCUGGGAAUGGCCGUUGAAACUGGCGAACUGGAGUGUGGCAGAGGGGGGGUGGAAUUCCGCGUGUAGCAGUGAAAUGCGUAGAGAUGCGGAGGAACACCGAUGGCGAACGGCAGCCCCCCUGGGCUGACACUGACGCUCAGGCACGAAAGCGUGGGGAGCAAACAGG
rnacentral:rRNA from 1 species